UGCUAAUAUUGUUGGUCGGAAAAAGAAAAAGGAAGGCAGCUCGAGUCAACGAUCGUGUGCA
rnacentral:tRNA from 1 species